rnacentral:rRNA from 1 species
AUCAAUAAGCGGAGGAAAAGAAAAUAACAAUGAUUUCCCUAGUAACGGCGAGUGAAGAGGAAAGAGCUCAAAGUUGGAACCUAUUUGGCUUAGCUAAAUCGGAUUGUAAACUGUAGAAGUGUUUUCCAGACACGCCUGGUAAAAAAGUCCUUUGGAACAGGGCAUCAUAGAGGGUGAGAAUCCCGUCAUUGGCCAGAGCUGUUGUCUUUUGUGAUACAUUUUCAAAGAGUCAGGUUGUUUGGGAAUGCAGCCUAAAUUGGGUGGUAAAUCUCACCUAAAGCUAAAUAUUUGCGAGAGACCGAUAGCGAACAAGUACCGUGAGGGAAAGAUGAAAAGAACUUUGAAAAGAGAGUUAAACAGUAUGUGAAAUUGUUAAAAGGGAACCGUUUGGAGCCAGACUGGCUUAAUCGUAAUCAAUCUAGGCUUUGGCCUGGAUGCACUUGCGGUUUAUGCCGGCCAACGACAGUUUUGUUUGGGAGAAAAAAUUACAUUGAAUGUGGCCCCUCGGGGUGUUAUAGCUUUGUAAAAAAUAUCCUGGACUGGACUGAGGAACGCAGUGAAUGCCUUUAGGCAAGAUUGCUGGGUGCUUUCGCUAAUACAUGCUAGAAUUUCUGCUUCGGGUGGUGCUAGUGUUUAAAGGAGGAACUCGCCUGGUAUAUUUUUUAUUCGCUUAGGUUGUUGGCUUAAUGACUCUAAAUGAC